CUGGCAAAUCAAACCCAAGCAGGAAGUUGUUGGAACUGACCAACCUUGUUGGUCGGAAAAACAGUGUGGUGAAUGCGGCAGAAGUGUGAGAUGAGAGUAAAGAAGGCACAUAGGAGAGAAAGGCAAGAGGAAAGAACUCAGUUUUUCUCUACUCAGGAAGACUAGAGGUUUUUCUUACAUAGCUGCCAGUGGAGCAGAAUAACUUUGACGGGAUAGAAUGCUCGUGCUGUCCUGAGGCCAGAUGUGGUGAAGUCAUGUGGAUCUGGAGAAGGCAUACAUGCAGAUACCAGUCCAGUCUUCCCUGAGCAGGUAUGUGUAGAUCCUAUACAAGAUAAAACACAAAUGCCAUCUGAAGUAACUAAGCUGUAAGUGUUGGAGAGUGAGGACCAUGUAUUAUACUUCUUAGCUUUAUAUUCUGAAUAACCAGUUCAGUGCUUAUGUGUUCAGAAAAAGCUUGUUAACACUAACUGUUCUGCUCUCUAUUCCUCUCAUUGUUCACACAGAACACUAUCCUUGCUCAUCAAAUCCUAAUAACUGAGCAUUUAGUAAGUACUCAGUACACUCUUAUUCACGGAAAUUGAUGCUGAUUGUUACUGUGAGAGAGAAAUAAUAAACAAA
ensembl:lncRNA